rnacentral:rRNA from 1 species
AUUGAACGCUGGCGGCAGGCCUAACACAUGCAAGUCGAGCGAGCGGCGGAAGGGGGAGUAAUGUCUGGGAAACUGCCUGAUGGAGGGGGAUAACUACUGGAAACGGUAGCUAAUACCGCAUACCAUAAGAUGUGACCAGAUGGGAUUAGCUGGUGGGUGGGGGAACGGCUCACCUGGGCGACGAACCCUAGCUGGUCUGAGAGGAUGACCAGCCCCACUGGAACUGAGCCACGGUCCAGACUCCUACGGGAGGCAGCAGUGGGGAAUAUUGCACAAUGGGCGCAAGCCUGAUGCAGCCAUGCCGCGUGUGUGAAGAAGGCCUUCGGGUUGUAAAGCACUUUCAGCGGGGAGGCGUUACCCGCAGAAGAAGCACCGGCUAACUCCGUGCCAGCCGCCGCGGUAAUAC